GCAAACAGAAACAGGCCUGUUCGUCAGAACGCAACUUUACAAUUUUUACCAGAUGGAGAUUUGGUUCUGAGAGAUGCAGAUGGAGCUUUAGUCUGGUCUACCAACACGUCUAACAUGUCUGUUGCGGGUAUGAGGAUGAUGGAAACAGGGAUGCUUGUGCUUCAAGACCACAAUAAUAAGAUUGUGUGGCAAUCUUUUGGUAAUACAGCACAUGUGUCCACUUCAUGGACGAAUAAUGAUCCCAAAUCAGCCAUUCCUUAUAAUCUAUGCAACAUAAUCGUGAUGCACGGAGCUCGUUUUUCUUGUGGAUUUCACUCCAAGGACCGGAAUUCCUUCUAUUUUGCAAUAUGGAAGCAGUCGGAAUAUUCUGGAGAUGAUGAUAUUCCGGAGGCCUUAUGGUUAGCAAACAGAAACAGGCCUGUUCGUCAGAACGCAACUUUACAAUUUUUACCAGAUGGAGAUUUGGUUCUGAGAGAUGCAGAUGGAGCUUUAGUCUGGUCUACCAACACGUCUAACAUGUCUGUUGCGGGUAUGAGGAUGAUGGAAACUGGGAACCUUGAGCUUUAUGAUGUCAAUAACAAGACUGUUUGGAAUUCAUUUGAUCAUCCUUCUGAUGUACUGCUUCUUGGGAACAAAUUAGUGCCAGGACAGAAGCUGGUGGCAAGUGUUUCGAAAACUAAUAGAUCUGAAGGUGUCUUCAGCCUCUCUGUGAUCCCACAAGGUUUGUUUGCUUCUUACCAAGCUACUGCGCCACAAACGUACUUCAAAUUUUCAGUUUUUGGGGGCAUAGACAGCCUCCAACUAAGUCAUGAUGAAUCCUCUGGUGAUCUUGCUUUACUUAUAAUAUCAGCUUCACCUGAUGAGCCGAAUACAAUGCUUACAAGCACCAUUAAAUAUUCAGCGACGGCUUACAUGAAAUUUGAUCCUGAUGGGCAUCUCAGAAUUUAUGAUGGCAACAUGAGUGACGGGGUUGAUCUGUUGACAGAUAUGAUGAGUGCAUGUGAUUACCCAACAGCUUGUGGUAAUUAUGGGCUGUGCUCAAAUGGACAGUGCUCGUGCCCAGUAGGAUUUGUUCGAGCCAAUACCCCAAAUGAUCAAGGCAACUACAAUUGCUGGCAGAUGAGUCCAACCACAUGUGAAAAUCCAAAAUCCCAUUCUCUUCUUCCCCUGGAAGAUGUCUACUAUUUCAAUUAUGUUGACCCUGAGGCAGCGGUCCUGAAAGGAACAGACAUGAAGAGUUGUAAAGAUGCAUGUUUGAAAAACUGUGCAUGCUACGCUGCUCUAUUUCAGUAUUACGUUAAUAAUUCUCUUGGAAAUUGUUUUUUGCCCUCACCAGUUCUUACACUAAUGGGUGAUGGUAAGGAAAGAAACAAUUUCCAAUCUUAUGCCAUCAUCAAAAUUUCUAAUGAUGGAGAGAAUGGAAGUGCUUUUUCAUCUUCUAUCAAUCCUACAUCUUCUAUCAAUCCUAAAGUAAUAGCAGGAUCAACUAUUGGAGCCAUCCUUGUUAUGAGUUUAAUUGUUGGUCUAUGUAUUAUGGUUUGGAGGAAGAAAAGAGAUCGAGAGGAAGGAAUGGAAGACUUGAAUCAACUAUCAGGAAUGCCCAUGAGAUUCACAUACCAAGAACUAAGAGUGGCAACUUGGGAUUUUGAGAAGAAGCUUUGGAGGAGGAGGGUUUGGAUCAGUUUUUGAAGGAAUUCUAGAAAAUGGAGAAAAAAUUGCAGUAAAGCGCCUAGAUGCUUUAGGCCAAGGGCAGAAGGAAUUCUUGGCUGAGGUCAAAAGUAUAGGAAGCAUCCAUCAUGUCAGCCUGGCGAGGCUAAUUGGAUUCUGUGCUGAUAAAUUGCAUACGCUUUUAGUCUAUGAGUUCAUGUGCUGUGGGUCUUUGGAUAAGUGGAUUUUCUGCAGGGAACCACUACUACAUCCUCUGGACUUCCAAACUAGAAGAAACAUUAUCAUGGAUGUAGCAAAGGGGCUGGCCUAUCUCCAUGAAGAAUGCAGACAAAGAAUAGUCCACUUAGACAUCAAACCACAAAACAUUUUGUUGGAUGAAAAUCUGCAUGCUAAGAUCUCUGAUUUUGGCUUGUCUAAGUUGAUUGACAGGGAUCAAAGUCAAGUGGUGACCACAAUGAGAGGAACUCCUGGGUACUUGGCUCCUGAAUUAUUCAGCUCAGUCAUCACAGAGAAGGCAGAUGUUUAUAGUUUUGGAAUCGUAGUCAUGGAAGUUGUCUGCGGAAAGAAAAAUCUGGAUAGGUCACAGCCAGCUGAGUGCAUGCAUUUGCUCCCUAUUCUUAUGAAGAGGGCACAGGAGGAUCAAUUGAUUGAUAUGGUUGACAAUAGCAGUGAGGAUAUGCAAUUGCACAGGUUAGAAGCUGCGGAGAUGAUGAGGGUUGCUAUUUGGUGUCUGCAAAGUGAUCACACCAGGAGGCCUAGCAUGUCAACCGUGGUUAAGGUCUUAGAGGGCACCAUGGGUGUUGAAGCAGACCUAGACUAUUGCCUUCAGAAUGCAACAACAACGGCAGCAAUAAGAAGAGAGGCAGUGCUGGGCAGUACUGCCACAUUGCUGCCAUCACUACUAUCAGGACCGAGGUGAAGAAAGAUCUUUUGCGAUAUAUAUGUGGUGUUUAUGUUUCUCUGAUAGGUGUUUUACCUUCAGUUCUCUUUAUAUCGCUAUUGUAAUGUUAUCUGGGAAAUUGUUCAAUUAGCAUAAAGUGUGACAGGAAAGCAUGAAAAACUGCAAGAAACUGCAAUGAUUAUAACUUCUCUGGCAUUUAAAGCCAAGACAUGCCAUCAGUUUUCAGUUAAGUUUUUGAGGUAAAGAAUUACUUUUAUAGCCAACAAAGAGCCAAAUAUACAUGAUUCCGGUUAACUUGUUACUAUCAACAUUGUGCUGAUUCUUUUCAGAAAAAUCAUAUCGAAGGCAUUUGAUUGAAUUGUGUUGACUUAGCAUGGAAAAUUGAAGCUACCUCCCCAGAAACCUCUUUUCUUUUCUUUUUUUUGUUCUUGAAGCUGCAAUUUUUCUUCGCCAAUCGCUACUCAUUGCUCAGGUAUAAUGAUGUCAAAGUCACUAACAGUCCAUUCAGCAACUUGAUUAGGGGCCUUGAAUAUCUCUGUUCCUAAAUCAAUGGACAUCCACUGCCUCCUAGCCGGAGAAGUCCCAGGAUCCUGCAAAAUAAGUAAUAGCCGCCAUAUGUUAAUGUCAAAGAGCUUUGUCCAUUUUAAUAAUUCAUCUUGUCACUUCCUUUCGGCCUCUGUACAAAUUUCCUUCCGUUUCUAGGAUGCAGGAUUAUAUCUAGUGACUUCGAGUUUUGAAAAAACUAGUAAAUUUGAAGCUCUGAAUCUGUGCUAAGGCCAUUUAAUCCAUAAGAGAAAAGUGGAAGACAGAAAAGCAAACCUGGUAGAAGUAAAGUGAUUGCGACAACCUCCCAACAUCAAGUUCCCAAGUUCUCGGGUCACCAAUCCAACCCUCACCUUGCUUGGUAGGAUAUCCAUACUCACCCCAAACUGGAUGUGGCAAAAUCUGUAAUAUUUCCUGAGGCUGAGGAUUGCUAUAGGGAUCACACAAACUAUAAGGAACUUCAAGAUGCUCUGCGUUCCCCGGAGAACAGUACAAGUGAUAGGCGGCAUAAGGGAAGCGAGCAGUGUCAUUGCGAUGGAUAAGUGUUCCAUCGGGAAAUGUAUGGUAAGGAGGGCACACAUUGAGGUUGUUUGGAUGGCACCAUGAACUUAUGUUUGGAUUUAUGAUCAUUUCGCUGUAUCGAGUGACAUCUGAAGUAACAUUGCCAUCGCAAGGUUUCCCAUCGUUCUUCCAACAGCUUCCCAUGUCCAUCAGGUAGAACUGGCUGCUAGGACCCCCACCAUUGAUUACAUUUAGAGUGAACCUUAACGUCAACUCCAUCACUCACAAGUUUGUUUGGCUUGUAAGUAAAACCUGCAUUAGUGCAUGAUACAGACUAUUUUUUUCAACCCCUAGAUGUCACUCGUGUAAACCCACCUCCCCUGUGAAAUGUUUGCAGGAUUUGACCUACAUUUCAAUCUAUUUCUGUGCAUCAUAAUAUUUUAUCUACAUCGGAGGCUUGGCAGAAACAAAGAAAAGGUUUGGCACUCCCUUUGUUUGUAUUUGAACUGUUGAGGAAUUUGAAUUAUGUAUAUUAAUUAGAUCAAAGAAUGAAAAGGAGCACUCACAAUUUUAUAUUUUAUUUGUGUCUUUAUCUUUAUUUUUUCUCAUAUAUAUUGAAAAUUCUCUUCAAAACUCAAAGAAAAAAAUUGAAAAUAAUAUAAUACCCUAUGUAUUUGUGUUGCAUAUAGAUUUCAUUUGAAGAAAGAACUUCUUUAGAUAGUUCUCAAUGAUAGGAGAAGUUUUUUAAUUUUUCAAUAUUAAAUAUAAGUACUAGUAUAUCCUUAAUAAUUUGCUCGCAUAUACUUUCACAUAUAAUACAAAUGAAUUCUCUUAAAAUAAAACAAAUAUUAAAAACUAUAAUGAUGAUAUUAUUAUGUUAAAACUUAAAGGAGCCUCAAAUACAAUUUUUGUUCAUAUCAUACAUUUUAUGUAUUUGUAUUAGAUAUAAAUUUUAUUAAAUUUUUUUUUUAGAUAAAAGAACUCACAAAUUAUAAUAUGAUUGUAACUUUGGUAGGAAAAGAUAUUUUGACUUUGUAAUGUUUAAAUAUAAAUAUUAAUAUGAGAUCCAAUAUUUUAUUAAGAGUUUUUUUUUUUUUUAGAAACUUUGGGAUGAUAAAGGGUGUUAAUAGGCUUGGUUUUGAUAUUACUCAUAAACAAAUUCAAAUACAAACUAUUAUUCAAACCCAACCCUUUACCUAGAAGAUAUAAAUUUUAGAUACCCGAACUUAACUCAAUUAUGUUUUGAUUGUCCAUUCAAGUACCUGUUAUUCGACUAGUACAAUAAAAUACAAAUAUAAAAGAAACCAAUGAAUUUAUUUAACGAAUUAGCUAAAAGAGUAUCCAAUCAAAACUCCAAAGUAAAUGUACUAAUAAAGCUAACAAAAUCUUGACUAAGAUCAUAAUAAAUCCAAAUUCCAAGAUAAAUUUGAUUAAAAUACUAAUCAAUUAUUGGAUAAAAAAGGGAAAAAAAAAGUAGUUUUAGAGUACUUAUACAAAGAAAUAAACUAAAAUAAAAUGAGGGUUAGGAACAAUAAAAUAUAUAUAGCAGAAGACACAUUUCACCAUGGAUUUCAACAAUGAAUUUACUAUUUUGACCAUGAUUCAAAUAACAAAUGACCUUGCUUAGGAGAGUAUUACGGUCUUUUAAAUAGUAAAACUACUAAAUUGCCCUUAAAGACAAGAUUAUAUCUGUUUAGUCUAGGGGUAUUAUUAGUUUUUUUUUUUAUAUUUGAGUGCAUGUUAAAAUUACUUAAAUGCCCUUUAAGUCAACAAAAUAAAAGCUUUUGGUGAAGGGGUAUUUAUGUGUUUUUAAGUUUGUUUUUAUUAUUUUUUAUCAAGGGAAUUAUUUUAUUUUACCAUAAUUAAAUAAUAUUAAAUUUCAAAAAGCUGUUGGUGCGUGACAGGCGCCAACGCACUUCGGGCGGUGCGUGUUGCGCCUCCUAGUGGUGGAACUUGUCUUUCCACCUUAUUGUUAGAUGUGUCAUCAUGUUAUCUUUCUUCUAGUAUGACGCGUGUCAUCGAUAGUUGAGCGGUUUGUCGAUGAUGAGUUUUUCUUUUUUCUUCUCCUUCCUUUCUCGCUCCUCCCCCAAACAUUGCUUAUUGGUCUUCUUUGUUUUUUAUAUUUAUACUUCGGACUUUUUUCUUUUGAUUUCUUAUGUUUUUCCUUGGCUCUUUAAUAAGAGUGUAUUUUCUUUCAAUUUAUUCCUUCAUUUCUAAUUUGUAACAUAUUAUGUUUUUCAAUUUGAUCAUUAUUCUUUUGAUUUUUUAUUUUUUUCACUAGUUCCUUUUGUAAAAGUUAUAUUUUUUUUUUCAAUUUCACCCUUCAAUCCAAGUUUAUUUUGUGUUACUGUUUUCAAUUUGAUCCUUAUUUAUUAUUAUUUUUCCUUUUUGUUGGAGUUAUUUUUCUUUUUAAUUUAACCCUCCAAUCUAAAAUUUGUGUCUUUUUUUCUUUUUGUAAAAGUUUUAUUUCUUUUCGAUUUAGUCCUUCAAUUUUAAUUUGUCAUAUGUAUAUAUUUUUUAUUGGUCCUUAUUUUUUUGAUUUAUGAUUUUUUUAUUAACCCUUUUAUUAAAAUUUUAUUAUUUUUCAUUCCCACCCUUCAAUCCAAGUUCACAAUGUGUUAUUUUUUUUCAAUUUUGCCUUUAUUACUUUUUUUUUUGUUUGAGUUAUUUUUCUUUUUAAUUUAAUACUCCAAUCGAGAAAUUCUAGUUGCCCUCUCAUUUAUUGUUUCUCUCAAUUUUCACCCUUAUUGUUUUAAUUAUUAUUAUUUUUUUAUUUUAGAUCAUUUUAUAUAGUUACUUUUUUUCCUUGUUACUUUCUUUAGCGUUUGUUGACUCAAUCCAUUUUUUUUUGUCUCUUUUUAUCUACUUUUGUGCUUCCAUAGAUUUGUUUUCCAAGGUAUUGAGAUCAUUUUUGUUUCAAAAUUGUUUGAUUAAUAUCAUAGCCUUUUCUUUUAUCAUCUAAUUAAAAUAAAACAAACAUAUUAAACCCAUUCAGUGUUAUAACUUGAGUCAAUGAUUUCUCUUAUUUAUUUGAAAUGCACUUGCAGCACCGAAACAUCUUUUUUUUAUGAAAAAAAAUACAGACUCGUAGCAUAGCGUGUGCCCGUGUCUAGUCUAGAGCAAAUAGCCAAAGAAUUUAAGUUGACAAUUGUUUCCACUACUUUCAUUAUCUUUAUAUAUAGAUAAUGCCAUGGAUGGAAUUUUUCCAAACUUUAAGUACAUAAAUAAAUUUCAAGUCAAGUUUCAUGUAGGGUAAAGCAAUAUUCAUUACUAAUCCUAAACCUAACUUUGUCUUUACUAUCCAAACCCGAACCCAAACUUGUUGAGUAUGGAUACAAAUGGGAAAAAUCAAACAUGGGUGCAUGAUGGCUUUCAUUAUUGACAAAAUAUAGAGGCAAGUGGUUGCCAUUAUUGAUUGAACAUGAAGAAGCUUGUUCCAUGUUUUUAGAGAGGGUUUAUAAGAACAGAAUAUGCACUAGAUUGAGCAAAAAAAAUAAAGGUAGAUGCAUUAAGAGCAUCAACAAGUAAACUUAGAAAGAUAAAUAGAUGUGAAGAAAUUAUAGACACAUGUUGGGAGUUGAGUGAUAGUAUUUCUCCUUAAUUAUUGUAAUUUAUAUUCUCUCUAUAUAAUAAAAUGAGUUGUUUAAGGGAUGUAGGCAAUUGUAAAACUAUAUAAAAAUAUUGCAUUUAAUGUAUAGGAAUCAAUUUCUUGAUCUUAACAACUAGUAUCAAAGCUUUGAAAAAAAAAUAUAAGGCUUUUUUUUUUUUGCUUAGAAGUAAAAGAGGUCAAAAAUAUAUCUUGAACAUACCAUUGUAACGAGGGGGCCAAUAUGAACUUAAUGGUUAAAACAAAGCUUAAAAUAGAUGCUGAACAAUGGUACAUGCUUUAAUAUGUGUCAGCAAGGAAGAAUGCUGUGAAACUCUCCUUAGAUGCCAUCUUCACUUGAACAACAAUCAACAUGACUUGAACCUAAUAACCUUCUUGAAUGAUGCAACCUAAUUCCACACAUCAAUAACAAUUUAUCGUGAUGUCAACAAGACAUCAAUACCAUAUUAAUAGGAGGCCCACAUACCCCAUCAAUGGUUUAGGGUCAACACAUAACCAAACCAGUUUAGUAGAGCUAAAGUUAAGUCGAGCUAAGUCACUAAAAUGAGGGCAGUGAUUCAAUGAUAAAAAGGUCUUAGUUAAAAUUAUUGUUGUUGUAUUAACUUUAAUAGCAAUUACUUAGUUAAAAUUGAUCAUACCUUUUUUCAAUGGGAAAAGAAUUAGACCUUAAAUGCUCAAAGCUAAAAUUCUCAAACGAAUCUCAUUCUUUUCAUCACGAAAUCUCUUCUUAAAUAUAGGCUUCAAUAUAUUCUAGAACCAACCUUGAUUGAAACCCCUACUUAGUAAUCUUUUCUUCAACCAUUCUUUAGUUGAUUUUAGUUAAUCAACUAUAAUUUGAUAGAGUAUAGUCUAUUGGUUUAUAAAAAUACUCCAAGUUAAUUUUGAACAAUCCAAGAGAGAAUUGUAUUCAUCAAGGGUGGGAAUGAUAUAUAUAAUGUCAAAGGUGAAACAUUUGUAUUUUGGAUUCCAAAACCCUAUCAUAGCUUAGAAAUAUAAGUGUUGCACUCUAAUCUUAAGCAACUGAGUUAUAUCUCUAUAUUGAUUUUAGAAUGCAAUUUGAUCUUGUAAGGACAACAUCUCACAAUAAUCCAAUAAUUGGCUAGCAUUAUGCAUUGUUAUUUUUUCCACUAUGCCCUUUUGUAAAAGUUGCAUUUUUUUUUUCCAUUUCACCCUUCAAUCCAAGUUUAUUUUGUGUUGCUAUAUUUCAAUUUGAUCCUCAUUUGUUAAUUUUUUUCCUUUUUGUUGGAGUUAUUUUUCUUUUUAAUUUAACCCUCCAAUCUAAAAUUUGUGUCCUUUUUCUUUUUGUAAAAGUUUUAUUUCUUUUUGAUUUAGUCCUUCAAUUUUAAUUUGUCAUAUAUUAUUUUUUUACUGGUCCUUAUUUUUUUUAUUUUUGAUUUUUUUAUUAACCCUUUUAUUAAAGUUUUAUUGGUUUUCAUUCUCACCCUUCAAUCCAAGUUCACAAUGUGUUAUUUCUUUUUCAAUUUUGUCCUUUUUUUUUUUGUUUGAGUUAUUUUUAUUUUUAAUUUAAUACUCCAAUCAAGAAAUUCUAGUUGCCCUCUCAUUUAUUGUUUCUCUCAUUUUCACCCUUAUUGUUUUAAUUACUAUAUAUAUAUUUGUUUUAAUUUUAGAUCCUUUAUGUAGUUAAUUUUUUUCCUUGUUACUUUUUUCCAGCAUUUGUUGACUCAAUCCAAUUUUUUUUGUCUCUUUUUAUCUACUUUUGUGCUUCCAUAGAUUUGUUUUCCAAGGUAUCAUGAUCAUUUUUGUUUUAAAAUUGUUUGAUUAAUAUCAUUGCCUUUUCUUUUAUCAUCUAAUUAAAGUAAAACAAACCUAUUAAACACAUUCAGUGCUAUAACUUGAGUCAUUGAUUUCUCUUAUUUAUUUGAAAUGCACUUGCAGCACCAAAACAUCUUUUUUUUUUAAUGAAAAAAUACAGACUCGUAGCGUAGCGUGUGCCCGUACCUAGUCUAGAGCUAAUUGCCAAAGAAUUUAAGUUGACAAUUGUUUCCACUACUUUCAUUAUCUUUAUAUAUAGAUAAUGCCAUGGAUGAAAUUUUUCCAAACUUUAAGUACAUAAAUAAAUUUCAAGUUAGGUUUCAUGUAGGGUAAAUCGGUAUUCAUUACUAAUCCUAAACCUAACUUUGUCUUUACUAUCCAAACCGGAACCCAAACUUGUUGAGUAUGGAUACAAAUGGAAAGAAUCAAACAUGGGUGCAUGAUGGCUUUCAUUAUUGACAAAAUUUGGAGGCAGGUGGCUGCCAAUAUUGAUUGAACAUGAAGCUUGUUCCAUGUUUUUAGAGAGGGUUUAUAAGAACAAAAUAUGCACUAGAUUGAGCAAAAACAAUAGAGGUAGUUGCAUUAAGAGCAUCAACAAGUAAGCUUAGAAAGAUAAAUAGAUGUGAAGAAAUUAUAGACACAUGUUGGGAGUUGAGUGAUAGUAUUUCUCUGUAAUUAUUGUAAUUUAUAUUCUCUCUAUAUAAUAAAAUGAGUUGUUUAAGGGAUGUAGAAAAUUGUAAAACUAUAUAAAAAUAUUGCAUUUAAUGUAUAGGAAUCAAUUUCUUGAUCUUAACAACUAGUAUCAAAGCUUUGAAAAAAAAAUAUAAGGCUUUUUAUUUAUUUAUUAUUGCUUAGAAAUAAAAGAGGUGAAAAAUAUAUCUUGAACAUACCAUUGUAAUGAGGAGGCCAUUAUGAACAUAAUGGUGAAAACAAAGCUUAAAAUAGAUGCUGAACAAUGGUAUAUGCUUUAACAUGUGUCAGAAAGGAAGAAUGACAUGCGUGACACUCUCCUUACAUGCCAUUUUCACUUGAACAACAAUCAACUUGACUUAAACCUAAUAACCUUUUUGAAUGAUGUAACCUAACUCCACAUAUCAAUAACAAUUUAUCGUGAUGUCAACAUGACAUCAAUACCAUAUUAAUAGGAUGCCCACAUACCCCAUAACUAGUUUAGGGUCAACACAUAGCCAAGCCAGUUUAGUAGAGCUAAAGUUAAGUCGAGCUAAGUCGCUAAAAUGAGAGCAGCGAUUCAAUGAUAAAAAAGGUCUUAGUUAAAAUUAUUGUUGUUGGAUUAACUUUAAGAGCAAAUACGCACUUAAAGUUGAUCAUACCUUUUUUCAAUGGUAAAGAAUUAGAUCUUAAAUGCUCAAAACUAAAAUUCUCAAACGAAUCUCAUUCUUUUCGUCACAAAAUCUCUUCUUAAAUAUAGGCUUUGAUGUAUUCUAGAAUCAACCUUGAUUGAAACCCCCACUUAGUCAUCUUUUCUUCAACCAUUUUUUAAUUGAUAUUAUUCAACCAGAUAUAAUUUGAUAGAGUAUAGUUUAUUGGUUUAUAGAAAUACUCCAAGUUUAAUUUUGAACAAUCCAAGAGAGAAUCAUAUUCAUCAAGGGUGAGAAUGAUAUCUAUAAUGUCAAAGGUGAUCCCAAAACCCUAUCAUAGCUUAGAAAUAUAAGUGGUGCAUUCUAAUCUUAAGCAACUGAGUUAUAUCUCCAUAUUGAUUUUAGAAUGCAAUUUGAUCUUGUAAGGACAACAUCUCACAAUAAUCCAAUAAUUAGCUAGCAUUAGGCAUUGUUUUUUUGAGCUUCACUCACUCUAGUAGUUUGGACUCAAGUCUUAUUGGUAAUCAACUCCCUUCAUCACAUUGACUUUUUUUUAAUCCAGUACUCGUGUCCUUAAUGGUAAUCAUAUUAUGUCCUUUAAUUUCUCUUUUUUAUUAAACAUUAGUGGAGAUCUAAUAAAUUACAAUUCAAAAAGCUAUAUAAACUAUUAAACAAAAAGCAAAUGAUUUAGGCAAAAAUAGAAUGUAUGCUAAGUAGACUUUUGUAAAAGUUGUGCAUUUUUAAUGAUAUUGUAAUACUCAAAGUAUAAAGACAAGUGCAAAUUAAUUUUCAUAGGCUUCCUUUAUGGUUAAAAUGGAAAGCUAGUUAAACUCUUGGAUGAAAAACUAAUGACUAAUAGAGUAGUAACAUAUGAUUGCUAGGUUAGAGUAAAUGGCAGGCUCACACUCUUGGAUGAGUGAUAAUCUAUUGAUCACAUUGUAAUAUUCAGACAAUAACUAUCACAUUUAAGACCAUUGAUAACAUUUGUAGAGGGAAAAUUAUGAUUGAAUGGGUCAAACUCUUAUGAAGGAUAGAUUAUAUCAAACUGCUAAGGAAGAUAAAGCCUAGAAAGCCAAUUGAGCUCAUAUAAAAGAAAAUAACAUGAUGAUAUUAGUUGAAAGAUAGAUUUCUUUACAUAAAAAAGGAUUUAACCGCAAUGAUUUGCAAUAAGCACACUACUUAAAGAUGCAAAGGGAAAUUGUCACCCAUUUACACAAUGAGAAGAUUGGCAAGCAACGUGUAUAACAUGAAUAAGAGAUUGGAAGACAAACCACUCAAAAUCAAGUGAGAGUUAGCUCUAAAGGAUAAAAAACUAAAGUAGUGUAAAGCUUUAAUAGAUCUUUAAGAAUAAAAGAUAGAUAUAGUGCCAUAUCAUUUGUCUCCAAGUAGGAGAUUAUUAAGUGUGGAUACAAAUGGAAAGAAUUAACCAUGGCUUCAUGAUGGCUACUAUUGUUAACUAAAAAUAAGGAGGCUUGUCCUUCAUUUUUAGCUAUAAAUCAAGAGAGCUUACGAGAGCAAAAUAUGCAAUAUAUUAGGCAAAAACAACAGAAGUAGUUAUGUUAACAUCAACAACAAGCAAGCUUAUAAAAAUUUUGGGUUUCGUGUCUACGUAUCAAUCUCAUGAUUAUAAUAGAAGUAUCCAUAAAAUAUCCCACCUAUUUGGAUUUAUAUUCAAUAGGUUAGGUGAAAUUAUCACUCUUAGGUUGAUCAUAUUUUACUUUUAUAUCUAGUUAUAUUUAUUUUUAUUGUAUUAUCAAACUAACUUUAUUUCUAAAUGAAAAUGAUAGAAUAUCUUUUUAAUUGAAAUAAUUAUCUACAUAUAUUGCAAGAAAAAUAAAGCUUUUUUAUUUAUUUCUUUUUCAUUUUCUGAAAAAAAAAGACAUGAAACUUUUUUUACAAGAAUAUGAUAUAGAAUAUAUUGUUUCGAUAUUAAACUAUGCUUACAAGAGAAUAUACACAAAUUUUAAAACUUAAUUUUUAAAAGUUUUUAUAAUAAAUUUAAAUUGAUUUUAUAUGUUCUCAUUCUUAACUAUUGAAUAAAUUUAUGAAAAAUUAAUAAAAAAAAAUAUUAUAUAUAAUUAAAUAAUAUAGCACAAAAGCAAGUUUUGUAAAAGUCACUAUAAAAAAAUCAAUCUAUUUUUUUUUCUAUUGUAAGCAUUAACAAUUUAACAUAUCUUUACCAAGGGAGAUUUAUUUUUUUUUCCUUAGUUACUAAUGAGUAUUUGUUUUGUCCUUAUAGCAUGCUUUUUAAAGUAUUUUUAGAUAUUUUUGGAUGAUUUUUAUAUUUAUAUUAAAAAUUAAAAAAAAAUUAUUUUAAUAUAUUUUUAAUUAAAAAGCACUUCUAGUGAUAAUACCAAACACCUAGUACUGCUAUUGAGGGCUAUCCCUCCUUGCUAUGAUGGUGCAUGAUCCAGGUUAUUAUGUCUUAUUUGUUUUUGCAUUUUAAAAGUGUUUUUAAAAAAAUUGAAUUUUUUUUUCUUUAAAUUAAUAUUUUUUUAGUGUUUUCAAUUAUUUUUAUAUACUGAUGUCAAAAAUUAUUUUUUUAAAAUAAAAAUAAAAAAUUAUUUUAAUAUAUUUCCAAUAAAAAAAACAUUUUAAAAAACAAUUACUACAAUAUUUAUAAAUAUUUUCUAAACAGGAAAAGAAAUGAUUGUUCUCUUGCGAAAAUUCAAAAGGAAAAGCUAGCCUUCCAAAUAGUCGUGUUCAAAAUCUGGUUUCAUUGGUUGGAAUGUGGAAACUAGUUGAUAAAAAUAAUAUCAUGGUCAUUAUCCAACGACAGUUGGCCGUGACCGAAGGGGUAAAAUUAAUUAAGAAACUGAGCAAGGACCAUAGGCCGACGACUCUGGGAACGAAAGUAUUUAUCACGGGUCAAUCCUUGUAGGGAUGAUAGACCAUUCUUUUCGUCAACAAAUCGUUUCCAAUGAUCUGUAAAUUUGACUGGUGGGUCUCCCAGAAGGUUAACUAUUUCCACAUCCAAUGUCACUUUCAUUGGCUCCAAAUGGGAAGAUAAUGCUUGGAUUUUUUUUUUUGUCUCAAGUAAAAUUACUUGAAGUUAAAAGAAAAGUCAUGAUGGGUAUUGCGAGGAAAUCAUACAACAAGAAUCGUAAACUCUUGAGGGUAAACAUGUCCACUAUCCAUGGCUGGUAAUAAGGACGGGGAAAUUAAAGAAUUUUCAUUGAUGGGGCAAAGCAUCACGUUUUGUGUUAAAAAACAGGGAAGCUUCCUAAGUCCUAUGGCUGCUUCUGCACUGCGUUCAUUUGGUGUUGUAUAGCAACAGCGUUUAUUUAUCUGUAUUACAUUCCAGAGUAAUACCAAACAAAAAUAGCAGAGCUCUUGGCUAUAUGGCCUUUGAGUGAUAUCCUGCUAGUGCAGCUUUUGAUCAUGUUAUCUCCUGCAUACUUCCUAGAAGCUCAAAAUUUGUCCAUUUAUGACUCCACAGCACAAAUAUCCACAUCAUGGACAAACAAUUUGUCCAUUCCAACGAGAGCCGUUGCUUCCUACCAAAUGAUCUUGUUGAGUGAGUCUGUGUCUUUUGCUUGUGGAUUUUACUCCGAGGACCAGGAAAAUGAUUCCUUUUAUUUUGCAGUUGUAUCACUCCAAGUAACAUAUUAUGCAGAUGAUGAUUAUUAUUUCAGUCUUCGGAAUGUCAUAUGGUUGGCAAAUGAAAAUAAGCCUGUUGGACAGAACGCAACUCUAAAGUUACUUCCAGAAGGAAAUUUGGUUCUGAGAGAUGCAGAUGGAGCUUUAGUCUGGUCUACCAACACGUCUAACAUGUCUGUUGCGGGUAUAAAGAUGAUGGAAACAGGAAUGCUUGUGCUUCAAGACCACAAUAAUAAGACUGUGUGGCAAUCUUUCAGUAAUACAGCACAUGUGUCCACUGUUGAAUAUUAAACUCAACAUCCAGAAGGUCAAGGAAGGCAACCAGCCACCAGCCACCAGUCGCCGACCAGCCACCAGCCGCAGCCGCCAGCCACCAGCUGCCGCAGCCGCCAGCCGCCUUCACACUUGAAGGUUGAAUUUUCUUGUUUUAAUUUCGUGUAUAGAUAGAGUGCCCAGCUUCUGUUAAUGUAAGUGGAGAGAAUUGAGAGAAACACUAGAAAGAGAAAGAGAGAAAGAGAGGGUGUGUAUUGUAUUAAGCUUUUGAUUAAUUGUAGCUUCUGUUUUUGUAAUAAAACCUUGUGUUUUAUCCCCUCUGAGUGUUUCAAAGCCACCACCAGUGGUUUCUCCCACCAACAAUUGGUAUCAAAGCCCUGUUCGUCAGAAAACAGAAGUGUUUUGGGGUAUAUCCGAAUUUUCAAAGUUGUCAAAAACAAGUUUUGAUCAUUCCACAGUAUAGAGCUCCUCCAUACGAGCUCACUGGUGUAAAGAACAGCUUGAUCGGAGCCCGCGGUGAGCCACACGCGCCUCCUGAAGAUCCGGUGAUAGUCGCCCACGCGCGCCAGAGGUUGAAGACGACUGACGUGCACGCGCGCCAUAUUUGAGCCUAGCCGAGCUUCAAGUCGAUCCAGCUGAGCCGUACAUCGAGCCGAGCCGAUACGUCAAGCCAAGCCACAAAGCCGCGCCGUACACCGCGCCGAGCCGAGCCGCCAGCGCGUCGAGAGAAUAUUCCCCAGAAUAUUCCCGGUUCAACCUAGCGAACCGCCCGCCGUAUAGAAUUGGUUUUUUGACCGGUUCACCCAUUUUCUGACUCGAUUUCUUCGAAGUCAGACCAGUUCCCUACUAUUUGGACCAUUCUGGAUCGAUUUACAGCAUCCGUUUGGCCAAAUUUGGCUCCCAAAAAGGUGAUAUAGUCAUUCAAAGAGCAAAAUGACUACAGAAGGUACACAUACACUCAUCCCAAAGCUGACCAAAGACAACUAUGAUAGUUGGUGCAUCAGAUUGAAGGCAUUCCUUGGUUCACAAGAGUGUUUGGAUAUUUUACAACAUGGUUAUGAUGAACCAGAAUCCAAAGAAGUAGAAGAUGCUUUACAAGAGGCACAGAAACAAGCCUUGAAAGUCAACAGAAAGAAAGACAACAAAGCAAAGACCAUCAUAUACCAAGGUCUUGAUGAAGAUACAUUCGAGAUCAUAGCUUCCGCUGAAACAUCAAAAGAUAUAUGGGAGGCUCUCCAACAGAAAUACAAAGGUGCUGAUAGAAUUAAGAAGAUUCGUCUUCAAUCUUUGAGAAGAGAAUUUUGAAUUAUUGCAAAUGAAGUCCUCGGAGUCUAUUUCUGAUUAUCACACAAGGAUUAUGGUGAUAGUUAACCAGAUGAGGAGAAAUGGAGAAGCCAUCAUCGAUUCUCGAAUUACUGAGAAAAUUUUGAGAUCCCUAGAUCCAAAAUUUGAUUUUGUUGUUGUCGCAAUUGAAGAGUCCAAAGAUGUGGACAAGUUGACAGUUGAUGAGCUUAUGAGUUCUUUGCAAGCUCAUUAGCAGAAGAUUGUAAAGCGAAAUGGAGAUAAGGCCAUUGAGCAUGCCUUACAAGCAAAGUUGUCUCUCAAGGACAGAUAUGAGCAAGGGGAGACUUCAACAAGUGGAUAUACCACUUAAGCAGGAAGUCAACAAUCCAGAGGAGGAUUUCAGAGAUUCCAAGGAAGAGGAUCUUGGAAUACAAGCUUCAAAUGAAGAGGUGGUAGAAACACUACCAGAGGAGGUCGAGGACAACAAGCAUUCUCUCCUAGAGGAAGAGGAGACGGUUACAAUAACCGUGACAUGAGGAAUAUCCAAUGUUAUAGUUGCAAUCAAUUUGGGCACUAUAGCACUAAAUGCCGAAGGAAAGCUCCGUUAGAGAUACGUGAGCAUGCCAACUUUGCAGAGAAGGAUGACAAAGGAGCAGCUGCAUUGCUUGUCCAACAAGGACUUGGUGAGAAGCAGGAGGAUAUAUGGUGUUGUAACCCAUUUCUGGGUCCCUACAUAAAAAAUAAUAAAAUACAAAAAAAAUAUUAUAAAAAAUAUAACAGUGAGAAAAAAUGCCAGAGCGCCCUAAAAAUGUUCAAAACUUGAUUGAGGAUGUUCAAAAAUAUAAAAAUUAUUUUUUGACAGUAUAUCAUUGACUGAUGAGAGCCCCGAUGAUAAAGAAAAUUCAAUUUGAGGAAGAAAAAUCCAAAAUCAGAAGUUUAUGGACUCAAUUAAAUUUUAUUUAAGGUUUAAUUGAAUUUUUGGAAGAGUUUAAUUGCAAGAAAAAUUGAUUUUGGAGUUAAUUAGGGCUUUAAUUGGAAGAAAUUAAUUUUCUAGGGUCAAAUUAUAAUUUUUGGAAGUUAAUUUGAUCAAAUUAGGGGCUUAAUUGCAUAAAUAUUGAAGUUUAAUGGCCAAUUAGGGACUUAAUUGAAGAAAUCCGAGACCAAGGACUAAAUUGUAAAACGCGCGCAAAUGGAGGGCCGAAAUUUGAAUCUGACGCAUUUUGGCGCCUUUUCCUUUUAAGGGUGUGUUUGGUAUUGCGGUAGCUGUUGUGGUUGUGGUUUGAAAAAAGUUGUUUUAUAAAAAGUACUUUUAAUUGAGGUUGGUUUGAAAAAAUAGGUGUUUGGUUAAAACUGUGGUUAAAAUUGAGGUUGAGUAAAAAGUAGUUUAAUGUGUUUGGUUAAUAAUGCUUUUGAAAUUGAGGUUAUAAAAUAAUUUUAAAAAAUUAUUAUUAAUAUUGAUGGUUUUUAAUUUAAAUAUUAUAGAUUUAAUUAUUGUUAUUACAUUAUGAAAUAAAUAAUAUUUUAUAUAAAAUAUUUUUUAUUAUUCCAUUAAACUAUCUACAAUUCCACUAUGUAUGAAAUACAUUUGACAAGGACUAUAGUUUUUUUUGUUUUUUAAGCACGUAACAAUAUCAGGUAAAAUAUAAUCAGAAAAAAAAUUGAAAUUGCGAUUAAAUUCUGCAAAUGUUACGUCAUCAAGCGAUCUUUGUCUAAUUUAUAUAGUGUCAUUGAAUAAUAUUAAACACUAGUUUUUUGAAUAAAACACAAUUAAAAAAUAAAACAUAAUUUUUAUUUUUUAUUUUACUCAGUCGGACAUGGUUCAAUGCAUUUUGAUCUUGGGACCGGUCUAGCCGAAAUUGGUCGGACCGGAACAGUGUAGCAUGCUACACUGUUCCUUUUAACCAUAAUAAAAAAUAUUUACAAGAGUGGUCUUUCAUUUCUUUUCUAGACAAAUAGGAGAACAGAUUAAUUAGCAAGAACAGUGGAUAGUCAUGCUCCACUGUUCAUGCUAAUUAAUUAGCAUGAACAGUGGAGCAUGACUAUCCACUGUUCAUGCUAAUUUGCAUGAAGUGCGCAGGAAGCAGGAUUCGUCUGCUUUUCUUUACCCGGCGUUUUGAACGCAAAAACAGUGUGGGACCCAUGAAUAGUAAGUUGCUUUUUAUAUUUACCAAACGGGUUGCAUCUGCGUUUUGUUUAAAACGCAGAUGCAACCUCGUUACCAAACGCCCACUAAAUGAAACGGCGCGUUUUGACCAAAACGGCGCUGUUUCGUGCACUGUUUAAAAAAAAAAAAAAAGAACCCAAAACGGUGCCGUUUUGAAACGGCACCAUCGUCUUCUUCCCUGCGCACGUAGAGAACAGGGGAGAAGAAUUUUUUGUCUUCUCCACUUUUCGCCGAACUUCUUUACCCGAUGGCUUCAAAAAGACGCCCACAAUUCAGCCACUUGCAUACUUUUUUGGCCACUUGGAUAGUGGAGGGGCGGCCAACAGUGGCCGCCCCAAGAGUCGCCUCCCCUGUUUUUUGCCUAUAGAAACAGGGGAGGAAAGACAGAAAAAAGGAGGGGGAAGAGAGAAGGAGACCAAGGAGAAUAGAAGGGAGAAGAGAGAGGGGAGAGAAGGAGAGGACCGAGAGAGAGAGCAGAAGAAGAAAAGAAAAAAAAACAAAGAGGUUCUCGCCUCUGCACCGAAGAAGAGAAACAGGGGAGAGGCUGCCACUGCCAUCGCCAACACCGUCUCCGCUGCCACCAGCAGUCGCCGGCGUCGCCGCCUCUCCAGGUAAACACUGCCCCCUUUUACUUUUAUUUUCGUUUCUUCCCUCGCCAUGCAGGACGUGCACGGUGCACGCCUGCAAGCAAGGUGAGGCUGCUAAGGUGGGCCGGGCCCGAGCCCAACCCAUGCAUUUAGGCCAGGUUCGGCCCAGCCCACUGAAAUGUGCCGGGUCCGGCCCAUUUCAAUUUUUUUAAAAAUUUUUUUUUUCCCUUCAGAAUUUUUACAAUUUUUCCAGCACAUUUUUGUUUUAUCAAUUUUGCUUAAUAUCGAGUGGUAUUUUACAUCGCAAAAAUAUAAAUCCGGUAUUAAAAUACCCGGUUUUCGUCCCACGGUACUGUUCACACAUGUAUUUGGGCCUGACUUGGCCCAUUCAAAAAGAAAAAAAUCAAAAAUAUUUGCUUCAGAAUUUUAUAAUUUUUUCGUGCAGUUUUUAUGUCAUUUUGCUUAAUAUCGGUUUGUAUUUUACAUCGUAAAAAUAUAAAUCCGGUAUUAAAAUACCCGGUUUUCGGCAAAAACUUCCAAAAAAUAAAAAAAAAUUGAAAAAAGAUAAAAAAUGUUUUUGUGCAUACGGCCAAGUGUCUCAAAUCUAAAAUAUCAUAUCGUAUUUUUCAUAUGUCAAAAAACAAUAUUUUAGCAUGCAUUUUGGCUUUAAUAACCAGUUUAUUAAAGUCAAGAGAACAUUUGCCAAAAUCUCAAAAACAACAAAAUAUUUUAUUUUGUUUGAUUUUAGUAUCAAGGAUUAUGAAUUUAUACGUAAAUCAUAUUCCUGAUAUUAAAAAGAUAUUUUCUUUUGACGACUUCGAAUAGUUAGUUUUUUACCCGAUAAAGAUAAGGAUCUCCUUACAGAAGACUUUUCUUAAACCGUAAACGAACCAAUAAUUCAAAAACCACAACACGAUUUUAGAUUUUAUCAGACAUUAAAACAAUGCAGCCUACCUUAGGUAGGGCGUAGUUGGGGUGCUAAUACCUUCCCUUUACGCAACCAGUCUCCGUACCCGAUCUCUGAAGACCAGUUAAGGUUCCUAGUAACCAGAAUACUAGGUGGCGACUCCCAGUCCAUAUUUUCACUUGUAUAGACAAGAAUUCAUUGUCUCUCCCUAUUUUCCAGGAAUAAAUAUUCCGAUUUUUCCUUGAGCGUGGACGAUCGCCGCGCCGCCGCACACGUGCGACAUAUGGUAUCUAGAUACUGGAGCCAGCAAUCACAUGUGUGGCUACCAAGAAUUAUUUGGUGAUCUAGAUGAGACCAAGCAAGGUCUAGUUACUUUUGGAGAUACCACAAAGGUUCCAUUCAAAGGUAAAGGCAACAUCCCAAUCAAGUUGAAGAACGACGAUUCCAGCUACAUCACCGAUGUGUAUUAUGUCCCAGCCAUAAAGCAGAACCUGAUCAGCUUAGGUCAACUGUUGGAGAGAGGAUAUAUUUUUACUCGAAGAAUUGUCAUCUGACAAUUAGAGACAACAAUGGGAGAUUAAUGGCCUACGUGAAAAUGUCCAAGAAUAGGAUGUUUCCUUUGAACAUCCAGUAUGAUGCAACAAGGUGUUUGAGUGCCAUCACCAACAGUGAAGAAUGGCUUUGGCACCUGAGGCUUGGACAUCUGAAUUUCACAAGUUGAAGAUGCUAGCAAGCAAGAAGAUGGUCAAAGGUUUGCCUCACAUUGAUCAUCCAGAUGAAGUCUGUGAGAGUUGUGUCCUCAGCAAACAUCACAGAUCCAGUUUUGCCAAAGAAGUCAACUGGAGAGCAAAGAGGCCACUGGAGUUAGUACACACAGAUGUGUGUGGCCCAAUUACGCCUAUGUCGACUGGACAAAAUAGGUACUUCCUCACUUUUACUGAUGAUUUUAGUAGAAAGACGUGGAUAUACUUUCUGAAGAGGAAGUCAGAAGUAUUCAAUUGUUUUAAAGAUUUUAAAGCAAUUGUGGAGAAGCAAACUGGUUAUAUCAGAACCGUGAGAUCUGAUCAAGGUGGAGAAUAUACAGCAAAUGACUUUGAAGCCUUUGUACACAACAAGGCAUCAGACAUCAGACACACCAGCUUAUACACCACAGCUGAACGGUGUAGCAGAGGAAGAAUCGCACGAUUCUUGACAUGGCAAGAAGUCUGCUCAAAGCAAAGAAGUUGCCCAAGCAAUACUGGGCUGAAGCUGUAUCAUGUGCAGUGUAUCUGUUGAAUCGCUGCCCAACCAGAAGUUUGCAAGGGUCAUCCAGAAGAAGCAUGGAGUGGUCACAAACCAAGUGUUACUCAUCUACGAGUCUUUGGUUGUGUGGCAUAUGCAAAGAUCCCAGAUGCAAGAAGGAGAAAGCUCGAUGAUAAGCGAGAAAUGCAUCUUUGUCGGAUAUGGUGAAAGAAGGAUGGGAUACAGGCUGUAUAAUCCCAUCACGAAGAAGGUGAUUACGAGUAGAGAUGUUAUCUUUGAAGAAGAUAAAUCUUGGGCAUGGAAUGAUGAUCAAGAAGCAGUCAAAUGGAUCAACACUGAUUUGAUCCUUGAAGGUGAAGAAGUACCAACAGUACUUGUCGAAGAACCGAUUGUGCCAGCAGCUGAACCACAAAGUCCGGUACACAGAUUCCCUGUAUUCAACAGGAGGAACACACCAGGAGCAUCAUCAUCAACACCACCAUCAGCAUCCUCAUCAGAAGGACCAAGAAGGAUGAGAAAUCUUGAAGAGCUGUACGAUGCCACUCAAGUCAUGGAAGAUACAACUCUGUUUUGUUUCUUUGCAGAUAGUGACCCAUUAAGCUUCAAUGAAGCUGUCACAGAAGAGAAAUGGAUAAAGCAAUGGAUGAAGAAAUACAUGCCAUUGAGAAGAAUGAUACCUGGAAGCUGACUUAUCUACCAGAAAACAAGAAAGCAAUAGGUGUCAAAUGGGUCUACAAGACGAAGAAGAAUGCAAAAGGAGAAGUGCAAAGAUACAAAGCCAGAUUAGUGGCUAAAGGCUACAAACAGAGAGAAGGCAUUGACUAUGGAGAAGUAUUUGCUCCAGUAGCCCGGCUAGAGACAAUCAGACUGAUGAUCUCACUAGCUGCACAACAUAGAUGGAAGAUCUAUCAACUCAAUGUGAAGUCAGCAUUUCUGAAUGGCUUCCUAGAAGAAGAGAUCUAUGUUGAACAACCACUUGGAUACAUUGAAGCUGAAAAUGAAGGCAAAGUAUACAAGUUGAAGAAAGCUCUCUAUGGUUUGAAGCAAGCUCCGCGUGCUUGAAAUACCAGAAUUGACAGGUAUUUUCAAGAUAAUGGAUUUGACAAAUGUCCAUAUGAACAUGCAGUAUAUGUGAAGAAAGGAGCAGAUGGCAGCAUCUUAUUUGUUAUCCCUUGAUAUGAUGGUGCAUAACCCAAGUUAUUAUAUCUUAUUUGUUUUUGUGUUUUAAAAGCGUUAUUAAAAAAAAUUGAUUUUUUUUUUGUUUUAAAUUAAUAUAUUUUUUUGGUGUUUUCAAAUUAUUGUAAUAUGCUAUGUCAAAAAUUAUUGUUUUAAAAUAAUUUUUUUUUAUUUUAAUAUAUUUCUAAUAGAAAAACAUUUAAAAAUACAACUACUACGUAUUUCUAAACAUUUCCUAAAUAGGAAAAGAAAUUAUUGUUCUCUUACGAAAAUUCAAAAGGAAAAGCUAGCCUUCCAAAUAGUCGUGUUCAAAAUCUGGUUUCACUGGUUGGAAUGUGGAAACUAGUUGAUAAAAAUAAUAUCAGGGUCAUUAUUCAACGACAGGUGGCCGUGACCAAAGGGGUAAAAUUAAUUAAGAAACUGAGCAAGGACCCAAUGCCGACGACUCUGGGAACGAAAGUAGUUAUCACCGGUCAAUCCUUGUAGGGAUGAUGGACCAUUCUUUUCAUCACAAUUCAAUGAUCUUGUUAUAUCAAAGUUAAUUGUAUUUACGGUUUGUAGUUUCAAAAUGAUGUAUUAAAGCAAAUUAUUAGCUAAUGCUGGCAUAGCAGCUUUUGAUCAUGGCUGUGCUGCAGCUUUUGAUCAUCUUAUGGUCUCUACCAUACCUCCUGGAAGCACAAAUUCAUUAUGCUGACACAGCACACGUAUCCACAUCAUGGACAAAUAAUAACAUCUCCUUACCAUCAAUCUCUAGUGCCAAUCGGAUCAUUCUGUCGAAUGAGAUUGGUUUUGCUUGUGGAUUCUACACCGACUAUUAUGGGGCUUUGUUGGCCGUCGGGAUAGCCAAAACCUGGACAGAUUGGAGUGUUGGGAAUGGUAGUCGGUAUUUUAGCGAUCUAAUAUGGUCGGCGAACAGAAACAAGCCUGUUAGCGAGAAUGCAACUCUGCAGUUUCUCCCAGAAGGAAAUUUGGUCCUGAGAGAUGCAGAUGGGACUUUGGUUUGGUCUACCAACACUUCUAACAAGUCUGUUGUCGGUAUGAAGAUGAUGGAAACAGGAAACCUUGUGCUUUACAAUCAAAACAACAAGACCAUCUGGCAGUCUUUUGAUCAUGCAACAGACGCUCUGCUUCCUGGGCAGAUACUGCGGGCGGGGCAGAAGUUGGUGGCUAGUGUUUCCAGAGGUAAUAGAUCCGAGGGAAGCUACUAUCUUUCUGUUACUUCUGAAGGUUUGUUUGCUUUUUACCAAGCUAAUGUUCCACAAAUGUACUACUACAAUCGUCAAUUUGAUGGGACAUUGAUCAAGGGCUUCCAACUAAACUACAGUGCAUCUGAUAAUGGUACUCUAUGUCGAUUUAUUCGCUCUGAUUCAGCUGGUGAUCAUGAAGUUGGAAGAUCGAAUAGAUGCUCACAAACAAGUUAUAUGAAAUAUGAUCAUGAUGGACAUCUCAGAUUAUAUGAUGAUAAUUUAGAUCAGCCUGUGGAUUUGUUGGAAGACGAAAUGAAUGAUUGUGAUUACCCAACAUCUUGCGGUACAUAUGGGCUCUGCUCAGGUGGACGCUGCUCAUGCCCGUCAGGAUUUUCUCGAGAUAAUGACUCAAUGGCUCAAGGAAAAUAUGGAUGUUUAGAGAUUAAUCCUGUCGAAUGUGAAAAUCCCCAUCAAUCCCAGUCUCUCCUAACAUUGGAAGAUGUCUAUUAUUUCAAUUAUAUUGAUGAUGAUGCAGCAGCGUUAAAAGAGACAGAUAUGAAGAGCUGUCAAGAGGCAUGCUUGAAUAACUGUUCAUGCAAAGCUGCUCUAUUUCUACAGAGUUUAGGUUUUUUGCAGGGGAGGGGGAGUUGUUUUUUACCCUCAUCAGUUCUCUCGCUUUCAAGGGAUCGGAUAUCACUUAUGCCUCAAGCAUUUAAAUCAUAUGCAUUUAUCAAAGUCUCCAAUCACGGAAAGAUUGGGAGAGUUUCUCGUCCUCAAAUAAUAGCAGGAUCAAUAAUUGGAACCAUCGUUAUUUUAGGACUCUUUGUUGGCUUAUGGAUUGUGCUUUCAAGGAAGAAAAACAAUGGAGUGGAAGGAAUGGAAGAUUUCCUUGAUCAGCUACCAGGAAUGCCCACGAGAUUCACGUAUGAAGAACUGAAAGCAGCAACUAAGGAUUUCCAUACGAAGCUUGGAAAAGGAGGGUUUGGCUCCGUGUUUGAGGGAAAUUUAGAAACUGGAGAGAAAAUUGCAGUGAAACGUCUAGAGGGUUUAGGCCAAGGGAAGAAGGAAUUCUUGGCAGAGGUCAAGACUAUAGGAAGUAUCCACCAUGUCAACCUGGUGAGACUAAUCGGAUUCUGCGUAGAUAAGCUCAAUUGUCUUUGUUAGUUUUUUAAAGAAAGAAAGGAGUAUAACAGAGGUAGAAGUUUAUGGAUAUGGAGAAGGGAGAAAGAUAGAAAUAGUAGAUAAGGGAAUACAAACUGGGAAUUCAAAUAUUAUUAUGCAGCAAGCUUACAUUAAAUAGAAACAGAGAAAAAAACUGAAACCGAGAAUUAAGCCAUGAACAUCAACGUGUGCCAUGAACAGCAACGUGUGCCAACAAACUAACCACUUCCUACAGACUAGGACAAACUAAAAACAGAAUGAAAGCAUAAAAUAAUUUCUGAUACUUAGAAACGUUGCAGUCCUAAAACAAUCAACUAACACUUCUCCAUGAUUUAGGAGCUGCAAACUCCAAGUCUUUGCCUAAGAGGUUCAAACUUGUUUGUUGGCAAAGGUUUUGUAAAAAUGUCUGCGAGCUGAUCUUCAGAUUUGCAAUAAAUGAGGCUCAAUUCUCCUUCCUUCUGCACUUCCCUUAAAAAGAAAAAUUUGAUCUUGAAAUGCUUGGUUUUUCCAUGAAAAACUGGAUUGUGGGAGAUUGCAAUUGCUGCCUGAUUGUCCACAAACACCUCUGUAUCAUUUUGUUGCUUCAAAUGUAAAUCACAGAACAACUUCCUCAGCCACAAAGCUUGAUUCACUGCUGUUGUAGCAGCAAUAAAUUCAGCCUCGGCAGUAGACUGUGCUACAGUCUCUUGCUUCUUGGAACUCCAUGAGAAAACUCCUGAUCCUAGGCUAAAACAGUACCCAGAUAUACUCUUCAUGUCAUCCACUGAUCCACCCCAAUCACUGUCAGAAAAUCCCAGCAACUUGAAGUUUUGACAGUACUUGAAUUUUACACCAAAAUCAAUAGUUCCUUUGAUGUAUCUAAUGACUCUUUUUGCAGCUUUAAGAUGCACUUCACUAGCACAAUGCAUGUAACGAGAGAGAAUGCUUACAACAAAAAGAAUAUCUAGCCUGGUUGUUGUUAGGUACAUUAGGCAACCAAUCAUGCUUCUGAAAUAGCCUUCUUCAACUUUGUCUGUGCCGUCCUCUUUACUUAAGCUCUCUUUUGGAUUCAUUGGAGUAGCCAUUGCCUUACAGUCCUCCAUAUGAAACUUCUUGAGAAUUUCCUUGGCAUAUUUCUUUUGACAGAUGAAAACUUCAUUUUCUAACUGUUUGAUCUCCAUUCCCAGAAAGUAUGCCAUGAGUCCAAGGUCUGUCAUUUCAAAAAUUUUCAUCAUUUCCCUUUUGAACUCUUCAACAAGCUUGGCAUUGUCACCUGUGAUCAAAAGAUCAUCAACGUAAAGAGAGACUAUAAGCAGAUUGUCUCCUUUACAUUUCACAUAAAGAGUAGCCUCUGACAAACUUUUCUGAAAUCCUAGGCUUGACAGAUGCUCAUCUAUCUUGCUAUACUAUGCUCUAGGUGCUUGUUUCAAGCCAUAUAGAGCCUUCUUAAGCAAGUAGACCUUCUCCUCUUCACCUUGUUCCAUGAAUCCCUCGGGCUGUUCAACAUAGAUUUCCUCCUGCAAAAUACCAUUUAAGAAAGCAGAUUUCACAUCUAGUUGAAACACCUUCCACCCAUUUUGAGCUGCUAUAGCUAGCACAAGCCGAAUAGUAUCCAAUCUAGCAACAGGGGCAAAUGUAUCCGAGUAAUCAACUCCAAAGACUUGAGCAUAUCCCUUAACAACAAGCCUGGCUUUGUGUUUGUUGAUGGAACCAUCAGCAUUGAGCUUGGUUCUAAACACCCAUUUUACUCCAAUAAUCUUUCUAUCCUUUGGCCUGUCAACUAGCUCCCAAGUCUUGUUCUUUUUUUAUCAUUGACAGCUCCUCCUCCAUCGCCUUCUGCCAUUUUGGAUCUUUAAUAGCCUCUUCAUAACUAGCAGGUUCACAAAUGGCCACAUUGCAUCGCUGAUAGAUAUCAUGGAGCGGUCUUGUUCCACGAAUUGGAAGAUCAUCUUCCAAUUCUUCCUGCCACUGUUCUGAUGCUUGCUCUUCUCUUGUUUGGGAGGUUAGACUUGUUUUUUGCUUGCUUGUGGAUGUCUCUUUUGUCUGUUGCCAAUUCCAUUUCUCUUCUUCAUUGAAGAACACAUCUCUACUGACAAUUAUCUUCCCUGUUUGAGGUUGAUAAACCUUAUAUGCCUUUGAGGAAGAGCUGUACCCAACAAAGAUGCCUGGUUCUGACUUUUUAUCAAGUUUAUCCCGCUUGACCUGUGGAAUAUGAGAGAAACACAAGCAACCAAACACUCUAAGAAAUUUGAGUGAAGGUUUAUAGUCAUACCAUGCCUCAAAUGGAGUUUUAUCCUUCAAUGCUUUAGUGGAUAAUCUGUUCUGUAAGAAAACAGCAGUAUUGGCCGCUUCAGCCCAAAAAUAUUUUGGUAACUCCUUGUCGUGUAGCAUGCAUCUGGCCAUCUCCAUUAUGUAUCUGUUUCUCCUUUCACUUACUCCGUUUUGCUGCGGAGUGUAAGGAGCAGUAAGCUGGUGUUCAAUGCCAGCUUCUUCACAAAACAUAUCAAAUUCUGCUGAAGUGUACUCCUUUCCAUUAUCUGACCUUACAGCUUGAAUUUUGCAGCCACUUUGAUUUUGUACCAUCUUCUUGAACUUCCAGAAGACUCCAGCUACUUCUGACUUGAAUUUCAAGAAAAAAUCCAGCACAUUUUGAAAAAUCAUCAUAAAAGCAAUGUAUAUCGACUACCUGCUAAUGAUUCAGUUCUUUGAGGACCUGAUACAUCUGUGUGGAUUAGCUGCAACUUGUGAGUGGCUCUCCAGGAUGACUUUGGGAGUGGUCUCCUAUUUUGUUUACCGUAUUGACAAGCAUGACAAUUCGGUAAGUGAUCUCCAAAGGUUGGUAAGCCAACUGUGAGUUCCCUUUCCUGCAUAAGUUGCAUCCUUUGUAAGUGACAAUGACCAAGUCGCUUGUGCCAUAUCUCUGUGUUGCAAGCUUUCAUGGAGAAUGCAGCAAGUCCUUCUUUGAUAGGAUCAAACGAAAAACUUUUUCCUUUCAUUCUCACUUUGAGAAUUUCCUCACUGUUAGCAUCCAGUAUGUGACAGAAACCAUCUUCAAAGAUCACUUUAAAGCCUUUUUCAAUCAAUUGGCCUACGCUCAACAAAUUUUGAUUAAUUUCUGGUACGUAGAGAACAUCAGAAAUUGUUUUGUGCCUGCUGUGCUGGUUAUGGUGAUUGUCCCUCUUCCUUUGACAGAGAUGUGAUCACCAUUGCCAAUUUUGACUUUAGUAAUAUCAGUUGGCCUCAAAUCUCUGAAGAGUUUCUUGUCAUUGGUCAUGUGGUACAACCACUGUCAAUUAACCAACUUUCAGUCGAACUACUACUUGCAAAGCAGGAUGCUAUAAAAAGCUGAUCUUCAUCCUCUUGUUCUGCAACUUGGGCAUCAACUUCAUGCUGUUGAGCUCUUCCCUUACAAAUUACUGCUUCAUGUCCCAUUUGAUUGCAUUUUGAACAUUUUGCAUCAGGUCUCCUCCAACAUUUGAAUGGAGGGUGACCUUCCUUUUUACAGUGAUGGCAAGGAGGAUAUUUACCCUUGAAGCUUCCUUUUUUGCUGCUGUUGUUAUUCAAAACAGAAGCAAAAGAAUUUCCCUCUUGGCCUUUCUUCUCUUUCCUCUUGUUUCUGUAAGCUCCGUGAUGUUUUGCAAAUAAGGCUCCUUCAGUGUUGACCUCUUGCCUCAUAUGUCGUCUCUGCUCUUGCGCCUGUAGGGAAUUAAGUAAUUCUGCCAAGGAAAUUUUUGACAGAUCCUUGGUAUUUUCCAAGGUGGUAACUGUCGCUUCAUACCUUUCAGGUACUGUGACAAGGAUUUUUUCCACAAUCCUUGAAUCACUAAAUUCAGACCCGAGUAGCCUGAUUUUAUUUGCAAUUCCAAGAAGUCUAUCUGAAUACUCUUUAAUUGUUUCAGAUUCCUUCAUUUUUUGCAACUCGAAAUCCCGUAUCAAAUUUAAAACCUGCAUUCCUCUUAUCCUUUCGUCUCCUGCAUAUUCUUCCUUCAGGUAAUCCCAUAUAGACUUGGCUGUCUUACGGGACAUUAUUCUUGUAAAGAUUGUUGUUGACACCGCAGCAAACAAGCAUGCUUUGGCCUUUGACUUCUUCAUCUUCAUCUCCUUGUGAGUUUUGAUCUGCGUCAUGGUGGGAUUGUUUGGAAGUACAGGAACAUCAUAGUCUUCAUCCACUGCUUCCCAAAGAUCCAAAGCUUCCAAAUAUGUCUCCAUGCGUACUGCCCAAAUUUGGUAGUUGUCACCAUUGAACACUGGCGGAGCAAUUGAGGAGAAACUUGUUUCAGCUUCCAUGAUACGUCAAAGUCACACACAGAUCCCUUAAGAACAAUAAAAGCUCUGAUACCAAUUUGUUAGUUUUUUAAAGAAAGAAAGGAGUAUAACAGAGGUAGAAGUUUAUGGAUAUGGAGAAGGGAGAAAGAUAGAAAUAGUAGAUAAGGGAAUACAAACUGGGAAUUCAAAUAUUAUUAUGCAGCAAGCUUACAUUAAAUAGAAACAGAGAAAAAAACUGAAACCGAGAAUUAAGCCAUGAACAUCAACGUGUGCCAUGAACAGCAACGUGUGCCAACAAACUAACCAUUUCCUACAGACUAGGACAAACUAAAAACAGAAUGAAAGCAUAAAAUAAUUUCUGAUACUUAGACACGUUGCAGUCCUAAAACAAUCAACUAACAGUCUUUUAGUCUACGAGUUCCUGUGCAACGGGUCCUUGGACAGUUGGAUUUUCCUUAAAGAACCACGACAACCUUCUCUAGAUUGGGAAGGUAGAAGGACAAUUAUCUUGGACAUAGCAAGGGGGCUGGCCUAUCUCCAUGAAGAAUGCAGGCAGAGAAUAAUCCAUUUAGAUAUUAAACCCCAAAACAUCUUGCUUGACGCGAGGCUACGCGCUAAGAUCUCUGAUUUUGGCUUGUCGAAGUUGAUUGACAGGGAUCAAAGUCAAGUGGUGACCACAAUGAGAGGAACUCCUGGGUACUUGGCUCCUGAAUUAUUCAGCUCAGUCAUCACAGAGAAGGCAGAUGUUUAUAGUUUUGGAAUCGUAGUCAUGGAAGUUGUCUGCAGAAAGAAAAAUCUGGACAGGUCACAGCCAGCUGAGUGCAUGCAUUUGCUCCCUAUUCUUAUGAAGAGGGCACAGGAGGAUCAAUUGAUUGAUAUGGUUGACAAUAGCAGUGAGGAUAUGCAAUUGCACAGGUUAGAAGCUGCGGAGAUGAUGAGGGUUGCUAUUUGGUGUCUGCAAAGUGAUCACACCAGGAGGCCUAGCAUGUCAACCGUGGUUAAGGUCUUAGAGGGCACCAUGGGUGUUGAAGCAGACCUAGACCAUUGCCUUCAUAAUGCAACAACAAUGGCAGCAAUAAGAAGAGAGGCAGUGCUGGGCAGUACUACCACAUUGCUACCAUCACUACUAUCAGGACCAAGGUGAAGAAAGAUCUUUUGCGAUAUAUUUAUGUGGUGUUUAUGUUUCUCUGAUAGGUGUUUUACCUUCAGUUCUCUUUAUAUCGAUAUUGUAAUGUUAUCUGGGAAAUUGUUCAAUUAACAUAAAGUGUGAUUCCUUAAAGCCAAGACAUGCAAUCAGUUUUCAGUUAAGUUUUUGAGGUAAAGAAUUACUUUUAUAGCCAACAAAGAGCCAAAUAUACAUGAUUCCGGUUAACAUAUUACUAUCAAUGUCAUAACCUAAUUUUUGACCCUUUUAUUUUAAUUUUAUUUAUUGAAAAUGAUAAAAAGAAAAAUGAUGAAAAAAAAUAUAAUAAUGAUGAUGAAAAAAAAUAAUACAAAUGAAAUAAACGAAGAACGAAUUAAAAUUUGGGUUAAGGGCAACAUGAUUGGAAGUUUAAAGAUUUAAUUAAAUUUUUGACUUGUUUAAUUAAUCAAAUCAACGGUUUAAUUGAAGAAUUGAUAAAUUUUAAAACUUAAUUAAGAUUGAAAUUAAUUGAAUUAAUCAAAUCAAGGGUUUAAUUGAAGAAUUGAUAAGUUUUGAGACUUAAUUAAGCUUGAAAUUGAUUUAAUUCAUCCAAUCAAGGGUUUAAUUGGAGAAUUGAUGAGUUUUGAGACUUAAUUAAGCUUAGAAUUAAUUUAAUUAAUCCAAUCAGGGGCUUAAUUGGAGAAUUGGUAAGUUUUAGACUUAAUUGGACUUUGGAUUUAAUUAAAUUAAUGAAAUCAGGGACUUAAUUGAAGAAAUAGCAAAUUUGGGGUUAAUUGGGAGCACGAUUACAACAGAUUAAAAUCCAAGGACUAAAUUGUAAAAAGCGCCGAAAUGCAGGGAAAAUUACAGUUUAAACCAGGGGCUUAAUUACAGUAGUUUCGAAACUUCACGGGUCACUAAAAUGGCCACCUCAUAUCCCAAAACGGCGUCGUUUGAAAGAGCGUUGUCCAUGUUCUUCGCAGGAGCCAUUGCUGGAGUAAAGGGUGGAAGCCGUUUCAAAUGCUUGGCAUUCUCUGGCUAUAAAGCCAGAGAAGAUGAGAGAGCGCAGGGAGAAAAGAAAAAGGGUAGAACUGAGGGGCUGAGGGGGAGAGAGAAAAAACAGAGCCACGAAUGGCAGAAAAUGAGGAAUCACAGAACCGGGGGAGACAAAUGGAGAGAAACCGAACAAGGGAAAAUUUUGGUCCAUUAACUAGCAACAACUCGUGCUUUUACAACCAUUGUCUCCGUCUUGAAUGGAGAAGAUCGGACAGAGAACUAGAAAAGGGAACAAAGCGGAGGAGAGGAAGUAACACUGGGAACACCACAAGACGCGAGAACAGAGAUAAUACAGAGAAGACGAGCAAAAUCAGAGGAGGCCACAAAUGAGCAGAAAACAGAGGAACACAGAACAAAGCAGAAAAGGCGGUGGGCACGGUAGCAAAGAAUUACCUUCACACUGUGUGCAUCAUGCCCAGCCGGGUCACUGGCUCGGGCCAGUGACCGGGCUGGGCUGGCUGGGUCUAGCCCAUCCCAUGUGGGUUGAGCUGGGCCCAGCCCAAAAAAAUAAAGAAUAAAAAAACAGAAAAAACAGAAAAAUAAAAAAAAAUAGAAAAAAUAAAAAAUGUGCAUGCAUGAAUAAAAAUAAUGUAAAUUUAUUGGCUUAUUCACUGACGCUAGAGUCAGGAAUAAAAAUACCGGUUUAAAUUUAUAUUAUUUUUAUUCCUUGUAUUUUAUUUUAUUUUAUUUAGCUAGAAAAAUAAUAAAAAAUAUGUGCAUGCGUAAAAAUAAAUUUAUUUUUGUUUAUUUAUUCACUGGCGCUAGAAUAGGGAAUAAAAAAUAUUGAUCUAAUUUUUUUUUGUAGUUAUGAAUUUUUACCAGCGCUAGAGUUGGAAUUAUUUGAGCUCGAAUAUUCACUGGCGUCAGAGUCAGGAAUAUUAUAAACAAAUCAUAAUAGCAUAAGCGAAUAAAUUUUUAGCAAUUGAAGACAGAACCAACAAUGCAGUUUGCCUUAGGUAGAACGUUUAAGGGGUGAUAAUAUCUUUCCUUUUACGUAACUAGUUCUGAAUCAUAGAAUCUUUGUUGACCAGUUAGGAUUCCUAGUGACCAUAGUACUAGGUGUUGACUCUUCAAAUAAAAUAUUUUUCUUAAAAGAACAAGAUGUCAAAUAUUUGUUUUUUUUUCAUAAAUCAAGAUAAUUUUUAGAACCACCCCGAUGUUGGGUGUGACAAUCAACAUUGUGCUUAUUCUUUUCAGAACAAUGACAAAGCUUUAGUGAAGAGUGAAGAAGUGUUUCCUGCACAAUAAUAGUGAAUGAAAACUAGACCAAAGUGAGUUCAUGUUAGAUACUAUUGUAUGAGUGCUUAAGUAGUUAAGGAUGAGAUAUCUCUCAAGCUGUUAAAAAAAAAACUUUUACUUGAGAGGAUUGAUAAUCUUAUUUUUUAAACCAUGUAUGAAAAAAAAGGUGAGUGAAGGCCUUAUGAUGUCGAGUGAAGAGUCCAUUUUCAUGAAGUUAAAUUGAUAAUUAGAGUAUUAUACUAGAGAGAAACGUGAACACUAUUUAUAAGUGGCGUGCAUGUCAUCUAAUUGAGUGAUUAUGUGAAUAAAAGUGUUUACAUAGUCAAUGAUGAAUUAUUGGCUAGAACGAGCAUGGAAACAAGUGUCAAUUGACUUUUAUGGAUAUUUCCCUAUCAUAAAUUAAAAAGCUAGAUAAACUAUUGAAUGAGAUGACUGUUCUCUUACGAAAAUUCAAAAGGAAAAGCAUCGUCGAAUAUGAGUCAAUUUUCCACGCCUGUCAUUCUCGUUCUCGGCUGUUGGGUCUAUAAUGGCUGCAUGCCGUAUUGCUUGACGAGGACUAUUUAAGUAUUAUUCUCGACCUUUUAUUUAUUUAUUUUGGAUUUUUUCUGCUGGUGGGUCUAUAAUAUUUUUUUUUAUAACCGAAGUCUGUAAACAGAAACAUUUUAUUUAUUUUCCGCGUCAAGAAAGUCAAGUAACUCAGUCACCCACUUUUUUUAAACUCCCACUGCACUAGAUCUCGCUCCUUCUGCUGUUAAUCCAAUUCCAAAUAUUUAUGGAGAAAAAAAAUAUUAAUCUUUAUUUACAACGUUGGUUAAUUACAAUUAGUACAAUGAUAUCAAUUUCUUCUCUUAUACUAAAAUAAUGAUACCAAUUCUAGAUAUUAUAUAUGAAUUAUGUUAUGUUAUGUAUGAAAAAUACUAAAAAAAAGAUAGGUUAAUUUGGUCAUCCCAUAAAAUUAUAUAUGGAGUGAGAUUAAAACUUAAGGAAUAGGAAUAGCACUGCACAAAAUAUUAAUGAUAUUUAUUAUUUAUAGUAUAUGGUCAAUGAAGUGUCAUGAUUUAUCGAGUGAUUUCCAAUGAAAUUUGGAGCACAUACCAGCUUAAUUCUAAGUUUGCUAGAAGAAUUAUUUGAUUUUUGAACAAAUUCAUAAGCACUUAGGCACAAUCUACUCUUUUUUUCUUAUAAAAAAAAUUGUAUAAAGAACAACUAAAUAUUUAUUAAAAUUAAGAAAUCAACACAUUAAAUAAAAUUGUAUGUUCUCUACAACAAAUUGUGGAGACCCCAAAAGAAAAGUGAGAGCGAGAUGUGCUUCCGGGGCAUGUUAAAAUUAAGAAAUUAACACGUUAAAAAAACUUUCAAUAUGCCUUGUAUAUGUUUGAUAUGUAAAUUGACAUAUUUAAUAUCAAUUCAAUCUUGAGUAUGAACCUAUUCUCCAAUGUCACUUUCAUUUGCUCCAAAUGGGAAGAUAAUGCUUGGAUUUUUAUUUUUUUUGUCUCAUGUUUACUUGAAGUUAAAAGAAAAGUCAUGAUGGGCAUUGCGAGGAGAUCAUACAACAAGAAUCGUAAACUCUUGAGGGUAAACAUGUCCACUAUCCAUGGCUGGUAACAAGGACGGGGAAAUUAAAGAAUUUUCAUUGAUGGGGCAAAUAGCAUCACGUUUUGUGUUCAAAAACAGGGAAGCUUCCUAAGUCCGAUGGCUGCUGCUGCAGUGCGUUCAUUUGGUGUUGUAUAGCAACAGCAUUUAUUGAUCUGUAUUCCAUUCCAGAGUAGUACCAUACAAAAAUAGUAGAGCUCAUGGCUAUGUGGCCUUUGAGUGAUAUCCUGCUAGUGCAGCUUUUGAUCAUGUUAUCUCCUGCAUGCUUCCUAGAAGCUCAAACUUCUUACUCCACAGCACAAAAUUAUUACCCAUCAUGGACAAACAAUUUGUCCAUUCCAGCGAGAGGCUUUGAUUCCUACCAAAUGAUCUUGAUUAGUGAGUCUGUGUCUUUUGCUUGUGGAUUUUACUCCAAAGACCAGGAAAAUGAUUCCUUUUAUUUAGCAGUAUUAUCACUCAACAAACAUAUGCAGGAGCUAUUCUUUAAUUUCACUCUUCAGCAUGUCAUAUGGUUGGCAAAUGAAAAUAAGCCUGUUGGACGGAACGCAACUCUAAAGUUACUUCCAGAAGGAAAUUUGGUUCUGAGAGAUGCAGAUGGAGCUUUAGUCUGGUCUACCAACACGUCUAACAUGUCUGUUGCAGGUAUAAAGAUGAUGAAACAGGGAUGCUUGUGCUUCAAGACCACAAUAAUAAGACUGUGUGGCAAUCUUUAGUAAUACAGCACAUGUGUCCACUUCAUGGACGAAUAAUGACCCAUAUCAGCCAUGCCUUUUAAUCUAUUUAAAAUAAUCAUGAUGCACGGAGCUGGUUUUUUUGUGGAUUUCUCUCCAAGGACCGGAAUUCUUCUAUUUUGCAUAUGGAAGUCGGAAUAUUCUGGAGAUGAUGAUCCGGAGGCCUUAUGGUUAGCAAACAGAAACAGGCCUGUUGGUGAGAACGCAACUUUACAAUUUUUACCAGAUGGAGAUUUGGUUCUGAGAGAUGCAGAUG
rnacentral:lncRNA from 1 species